GGAGAAUAAUGGAGUCGGAAGUUCGAGCUGGGAACGGAAGUCUGGCAGGAAAGGGGAAAGUGACUAUAUCUGGACUAUAGAGUAUGGAGAUUCAAGGAAAUAAGUGGAGUGAACUUUUUCUGAUGAAGUAAGUGGAGUUUUUUGUUUUUUAAAUUUAAGUUGCUGUCUAAAUGCUUUUAUGUAGGUAAGUUCCCCUUUGAUGUUCCUGAAACAGUUCUGAAACUCAACACUCUAAAACAGAAAUCUAUUUUUUCCCUCUCCCUCCCUGAAUCAGCUUUUUGAUUCUGCCUUCCAUAGCUCUGAGGAACUACUCCCAAGAGAUAGAGGAGAGGCCAGUAUAUCUGUAACUUUGGGUGUAUUGUAGAUCAGUGCUGAGGACUUAAUCUAGGUGAAACUGGAUGAAAUUGGAGGUGGUGUAAAUAAGAGUUCCUGAGAGUCAUGGUAGAGCAUCUUAUAUCUCAAGGCACAAGGAGAGAAAUGCAAGCUCCUCCUAGAAGGACUUUUGUUACCCUAGGUUCAGAUUUUUGAAAAGAUGUUUUAUCAAACCAAUUUCUUUAUGCAAAAACCAGUUUUGGAAUGUGAAACAACCCCAUCUUGGCCAUUUCAGGGUGGGGUUUCCUUGAGUUCCCAAUUAAGUAAAUACUUAUGGAAGUAUUUGUUGGCUCCUCUCUCCUUCUUUUUGGGAAACUCUAUUCCCCAUUUUAAAGUUCAUUUGCCCAGAUAAAAUUACUACUGAAAACCGUCUGGUGGACACAUGUGCUGUUUGUGAGCUUAAGUCCUCUAGGUGUCACCCUGGAGUCAUUUCAGCUCUUUUACCUGCCUUGCUUUCUCCCUCCAGCAAUCUAACCCCCGCCACCUCCCAGUUUCUCACAGCACUGGAUGGCCAAUCCUUAUGUGUUCAUCUUUCGAUGAGCAACUUUUCUACAUUAAUGAGUGAGUUUCCCUAUGGGACUGCUGCACGGUAUAAGGACUCACCUUCCCCACUGCCAUAAAUGUCUCGCCUAAGAAAGCUGAAACCAAAAGGAACUGUGUCCCUUAUCUUUGGAGCUGAAAGCUCUCAUGUGGUAGCUUCACUUUAAUUCCAAUUAACCCUGUUCAAGUUUGGUCUUCCCUAGUGGCUCAAAUGGUAAAGAAUCUGCCUACAAUGCAGGAGA